rnacentral:rRNA from 1 species
AAUUGUAGACCUGUAUGAAGGCAAAUGAGGGCCUAACUGUCUCUUAUAACCAAUCAAUUAAACUGAUCUCCCAGUACAAAAGCUGGGAUACUUACAUAAGACCAGAAGACCCUGUGAAGCUUAAACUAAACUAUUAAACCACAUAAUAACUCCUUUUGGUUGGGGCGACCUUGGAAAAAAAAAGAACUUCCAAACAACAGUGAUUUUAACCCACCCMCUACCUUAGGCCAACAAGCCAAAUAACGACCCAGCAUUGCUGAUCAAUGAAACCAGGUYACUCCGGGAAAASCMGCSUUCUCCUUCURCAAGACCCCAUAUAAAAAAGAAGGUUCCCSACCUCGAUGUUGRAUCAGGACAUCCUARUGGKGCAGCAKCUWUUARGGGUUCKUUUGUWCAACRAUWAACAGUCCCACGUGAUCUGAKUUCAAAUCGAACA